rnacentral:lncRNA from 1 species
UUCCGCCAAAGUGAGGGAAGCAAGCGACAUGGUUUACUCCUACAACGCCACCUCUACCACCAACCACCAAGGAUGUUGCUUGUUGGUAUCAUCAGUUUGGAGAUUAAUUAGUUACUGUUUUUUUCUCCGUUGAUGACCCUCCGUUUUCUUUCUUUCAUUCCAGGCUAAGAGGAACGUUUGUAUCGCCGGUGGUCUUCAGACUCUAAGGAAUUCUAGGGUUUACGGGAAACGUAUGGAUUGCAGCUAAUUUUUCUUUUGUUUUUGCUCCUUUAUUUUCUCUCACUUGCAUUUUUUACUGUCAUGUUGUAAAACCCUG